rnacentral:rRNA from 1 species
CGGAACGGGUGAGUAAUAUAUGAACGUGCCCAGUAGUGGGGGAUAACUGCUCGAAAGAGCAGCUAAUACCGCAUACGACCUGAGGGUGAAAGGGGGGGAGUCGCAAGACCUCUCGCUAUUGGAGCGGCCGAUAUCAGAUUAGCUAGUUGGUGGGGUAAAGGCCUACCAAGGCAACGAUCUGUAGUUGGUCUGAGAGGACGACCAGCCACACUGGGACUGAGACACGGCCCAG